rnacentral:rRNA from 1 species
AACGAACGCUGGCGGCAUGCCUAACACAUGCAAGUCGAACGAAGUCUUCGGACUUAGUGGCGCACGGGUGCGUAACGCGUGGGAAUCUGCCCUUGGGUGCGGAAUAACUUCUCGAAAGGGAUGCUAAUACCGCAUAAUGUCGUAAGACCAAAGAUUUAUCGCCCAAGGAUGAGCCCGCGUAAGAUUAGCUAGUUGGUGGGGUAAAAGCCUACCAAGGCGACGAUCUUUAGCUGGUCUGAGAGGAUGAUCAGCCACACUGGGACUGAGACACGGCCCAGACUCCUACGGGAGGCAGCAGUGGGGGAAUAUUGGACAAUGGGCGAAAGCCUGAUCCAGCAAUGCCGCGUGAGUGAUGAAGGCCCUAGGGUUGUAAAGCUCUUUUACCCGAGAUGAUAAUGACAGUAUCGGGAGAAUAAGCUCCGGACUAACUCCGUGCCAGCAGCC